GUCCCGCAACGAGCGCAACCCUUGUUCACUGUUGCCAGCACGUUAUGGUGGGGACUCAGUGGAGACCGCCGGGGUCAACUCGGAGGAAGGUGGGGAUGACGUCAAGUCAUCAUGCCCCUUAUGUCCAGGGCUUCACGCAUGCUACAAUGGCUGGUACAGAGAGUGGCGAGCCUGUGAGGGUGAGCGAAUCUCGGAAAGCCGGUCUCAGUUCGGAUUGGGGUCUGCAACUCGACCUCAUGAAGUCGGAGUCGCUAGUAAUCGCAGAUCAGCAACGCUGCGGUGAAUACGUUCCCGGGGCUU
rnacentral:rRNA from 1 species